AUUGAACGCUGGCGGCAUGCCUUACACAUGCAAGUCGAACGGCAGCGCGGGAGCAAUCCUGGCGGCGAGUGGCGAACGGGUGAGUAAUAUAUCGGAACGUGCCCAGUAGUGGGGGAUGGCCCGGCGAAAGCCGGAUUAAUACCGCAUACGACCUGAGGGUGAAAGGGGGGGAUCGCAAGACCUCUCGCGAUUGGAGCGGCCGAUAUCAGAUUAGGUAGUUGGUGGGGUAAAGGCAUACCAAGCCUGCGAUCUGUAGUUGGUCUGAGAGGACGACCAGCCACACUGGGACUGAGACACGGCCCAGACUCCUACGGGAGGCAGCAGUGGGGAAUUUUGGACAAUGGGCGCAAGCCUGAUCCAGCAAUGCCGCGUGCAGGAAGAAGGCCUUCGGGUUGUAAACUGCUUUUGUCAGGGAAGAAAUCCCCUAGGCUAAUACCUUGGGGGGAUGACGGUACCUGAAGAAUAAGCACCGGCUAACUACGUGCCAGCAGCCGCGGUAA
rnacentral:rRNA from 1 species